rnacentral:rRNA from 1 species
AUUGAACGCUGGCGGCAGGCCUAACACAUGCAAGUCGAGCGGAUGAAGGGAGCUUGCUCCUGGAUUCAGCGGCGGACGGGUGAGUAAUGCCUAGGAAUCUGCCUGGUAGUGGGGGAUAACGUCCGGAAACGGGCGCUAAUACCGCAUACGUCCUGAGGGAGAAAGUGGGGGAUCUUCGGACCUCACGCUAUCAGAUGAGCCUAGGUCGGAUUAGCUAGUUGGUGGGGUAAAGGCCUACCAAGGCGACGAUCCGUAACUGGUCUGAGAGGAUGAUCAGUCAAACGGAAAGGAGAAACCGGCCAGACUCCCACGGGGGGGAACAGGGGGGAAUAUUUGGAAAUGGGGGAAAACCCGAAUCAGGCACGGCGGGGGGGUUAAAAAAGGUUUCGGGUUUGAAAACCCUUUUAAGUGGGAAGAAAGGGCAGUAAAUUAACACCUUGCGUUUUUGCCGUUCCCAAAAAAAAAAGCACCGCCAAACUUCGG